GGGCAAACAACUUAAUUAACUCACCUAGUCUUUUGUAGGCUGUAACUAUGAUCACGACUGAAAUUUCAGUAGUAGGAUAGUUCUUGAUUGCAAUGAAAAGAUAUGCAAGAUGAAUACUCUGCAUGACUUAAUUCUUCAAUUUUAUUUUAACGAAGUAAACACGGGGUUUUAUUGGAAUGUUUGAAUGUUUGGAGGAAUGUAGAGCAGACUAAUUAAUUUGUCUUCUUGGUAGAAUAGUUUGUCUUUUGCCCCAAAAAGGGGAAGAAAAAGAAAG
rnacentral:misc_RNA from 1 species